UGCACCACACCCACUCCGAGAUUUGCUGGCUUGUGGAGUCCGCGGAGGACAACAAGCGACCACCCUUCAUGUAUUCCCUGCGCACCGUGCAACCCUUCACUACCAUACUCAGACACACGCGUACACCGAGAGACGACAGUGGCGCCACAGGCGAUGCUGUCGCUUCUCAUCGAUCAAUGUGGCGCCGACGCGUCGGACCUCCCGCAGCUCGUGCGACUGAAUGAGCUGAUUCGCGCGGAGGAAGAAGGGACUGGCGGCGGUUCCAUAGCGGCGCAAACCCCAGUCGCGACUCAGGCACCCACCUCUUUACCACUGGCCGCUCCGACCGUCGCACCUGCCGAAGGCACCCGCGUUGAGAGGCAAGCAGCGGAGCCCCCCACGCCGUCCGUGUCGACACCCGCCAAGGACAACACAGCGCUCGGUUUUCUGCUACACCACUGCGCCCGCCCGGAGGAGCAGGCACAGUGCACGGCGCUACAGCGGCUACAUGGACUGCUGCUCGAGGAGACGCACGAGGGAGGCGCUGACGAGUCCGUCGAUGGGAACUUCUCCCCGCUCAGGGCCAAGCCACCAACAGUGGCUCCCGCUCAUGCUGCCGCCGCUGUUGUGGCUGACGCAAUCAAGCCACCACACAAACAUGAUCAUCCGGCGCUCUCAGACGUCGGUGCUAUGCAUCAGAACUGGAUGGGCGCCACCACCGCCGUACCUUCGCCCGCACUGCCGGGGUCAGCACCCCCGCCUCCGCCUUGGCUGAGCAUCCCGGUGCCAAUUUUGCCAGGUGCCGGCGAGUGGAAGGGGUCCACUUACUUCCGUGCGGAGACGGCGGCGUCGCCCCAACCGUUGGCCCAGCCCGUGCCGAGGCACGCUGUGUCUGCCGCUUCUGCCACCGAUGUUGCUGCCGUGGGGGUUGACAGGAAUGCGAUGAGUAACGGGUCCGAUGCAUUGCGGGCCAACUCGCCCCUUCCGCCCUCGGCAAGCAAGGAGCUACCCCCGAGCGACGACGACAAGCAGGCCGAAAACAAGCAGGCGCCAGCCACUGUGUUGCUUCCUUCCCACGCUUCCCUCACCGAAGAGACAUGCGCCGCACAGACGGCCCACGAGACGCCUGCUGCAGGUGAAGGCGGACGUGCCGAGUUGAAGGCUACCACCCCUCUGCGACCGCGCCAUACUCCGCUCACUCCCUCCUAUGCUGGCCGCAUGCCGUGCCCGGCCAGCGAGGCGCUCGCCGCGCGCAACAGCGCAACUGCUCGGCUGCUCGCAGGUGGUGGAGCGACCCGUGCGGCAUCUGAAACGCCGCCGGCGUCACGCCCCAUGUCUGAGUUUGCGAAACGCUUCGUGACGGGGCUCUACGAAAAGGUCGGCACACCGUGCGUUGAAGCCUUGUCGUCGCCCAUACCCUGGCAGCACCAGCACCACACGCGGCAUCCACCUCAGGUGCUCGCCGCCGGGAGCGGUGUGGGAGCCGCCCGUGGCCGUCGUGCCUCGUCGGAGAGGUCACUUCUUCGAGCGCCCUUGGCGGAAAUGUGGCAGUCAAGGCAGGCAGACGACGCUUAUCACGUCCCGCCGGCACAGGAACGAGUGUCUCUGCUUGCACAGAAGGUGGCGACGCGGCCGAUGCUCCGUACACCCACGCCGCUUCAGCACGACCACCAGCAUGGAGGUACUGGCUCGGAGCCGCUGCGCCCUCAUCGCAUUGUUCCACACCGCCCGGCGGCCGGGUCGCCUGCGGUACUGCCUAGUGCCCGCCCUUUGCGCCGACACUCCACCUUUCCACACAGUGCUGAGGGCAGCAGCGGCACAGCUGCAGUUGAGCCUCUCUCAGACCUGAUGGUAGUUGGCGUACGCAUCCGUCUGCCCGUUCUGGGUCCUAAACGCCCGCGGCACGCCUGAGGGCGUGGCGCUUGUUGCUGAACAAGGAUAGGAGGGAGGGGAUGGGACAGCGAGCAGAGCCUACAACGUCAGUGCCGCCUAUUUUCCGCCCUCCUCUCCACACACCGCCCUCGCCGUACUUUGUGGUGCUUUCUUCUCUCGCUCGCGUUCUCGUGCUUUAGAUGAGCCGUCUCACGUGCAUUUCGAGGUGCAACUGCAACAUCCGCUAAAGAUGAAGCGACACCAAC
rnacentral:misc_RNA from 1 species